AUAUAUAUAUAUAUAUAUAUAUAUAUAUAUAUGCACACACCACAUAGAUGGAUAUGGCAUUCCAACUUCAUUGCUAUAAAAAUAUCCCUCUCAUGUGUCUGUCAUCCAUUCUUUUCUUUCUGCUGUGGAUUUUGAUUGAGUACAAUGUGCUGGCUUAACCGCUUGAAGACAAGAUGUCAGUGAAAGAACAUACCAAAUCAAGAUUGAUAUUUCUAAUGUCUAAUGCGUUUUAGUGUCUUUUUUAAAUACUCAUUGAUUUAAAUCAGUGUCGUUUUUGUAUUUAUUAAAAUGAUAAUAAAAGUAUAUUGUGAAAUAUGCAUAAAGAUUUGUGGAAUAUAAAACUUUUUUUUUCUUCUGAAGCUGUCAGAUCUGAGCAGCGAGACCAUAAGGAGAAGAUAUGAUUGAUGGUGAAAUGCCACAUCAGUGCUUCUCCAAAUUUUUUGAUUUACUCUGUGUCCUGCAUGUUCAGCACACUGCUUCUUUAAUGUUGAAAGUAAAUAAAACCAUUUUGAACAUGAGGAGUAAAACUGGUCACAACAUUCUUGUCAUUAAAAAAGUCAUUAUGGAAGGAUGGAUUUGCCUCUUUAGUUGGCUUUCUUAAUAUUGUUGGUUCUUUGUAGCCUAUGUGUGUGUUGCCUUUUUGCUAUAAAACAGGAUUAAAAAUGACAAAAAGAGAAAGUUGUUGGGUGAAGUCUUUAUGUACAGUGCAGGGUGAGAUGACACCCUAAUCCAAUGCCAUUUCUACAGUACAUUCUGCUUUUUUUCUGUGAACCACUUUCGAUAUUCCCUUGCAUGUCUUUGUCAAAACAAGAGAGUGGAUCUUGAAAAUAAACUUUUACAGCCUCAUUCCUGUAAGAUAAAUCCACAUUCUUUUUUCCUUGUACCUGGAUCAAUAUCAAAUAAAAAUAUUUUUG